UACGUAGGGGGCUAGCGUUGUCCGGAUUUAUUGGGCGUAAAGAGCGUGUAGGCGGCCUGGUAGGUCUGCUGUGAAAACUCGAGGCUCAACCUCGAGAUGUCGGCGGAAACCAUCUGGCUAGAGUCCGGAAGAGGAGAGUGGAAUUCCUGGUGUAGCGGUGAAAUGCGCAGAUAUCAGGAAGAACACCUAUGGCGAAGGCAGCUCUCUGGGACGGUACUGACGCUGAGACGCGAAAGCCAGGGGAGCAAACGGG
rnacentral:rRNA from 1 species